CUGAGUACCGGGUCUCUCAGGCCCUUACUCCCACCCUUUUGUGUACCUUACCACAUUUUUCAGUUGCUUUGGUGGGUUUUUUUGUCAAAGAAAAAACUCACCAUUGGAACUCUUUUAAACUCUUGAUAAUUGAGUUGUCUGAGAACAAAAACAAAUAAAUUA
rnacentral:misc_RNA from 1 species